rnacentral:rRNA from 1 species
UCCGGCGUCGAUUACAGAGAGGCCAUACCUGUUCCCUUCCCGAACACAGUAGUCAAGCUCUCUUGUGCCGACAAUACUUGGUGGGUGACUGCCCGGGAAUAUAGGUGAUGCCGGAU